rnacentral:rRNA from 1 species
UGGGGAAUAUUGCACAAUGGGGGAAACCCUGAUGCAGCGACGCCGCGUGAGCGAUGAAGGCUUUCGAGUCGUAAAGCUCUGUCCUAUGGGAAGAUAAUGACGGUACCAUAGAAGAAAGCCCCGGCUAAUUACGUGCCAGCAGCCGCGGUAAUACGUAAGGGGCGAGCGUUGUCCGGAAUUAUUGGGCGUAAAGAGUGCGUAGGCGGCAAAUUAAGUCAGAUGUGAAAACUAAGGGCUCAACCCAUAGAUUGCAUCUGAAACUGAUAUGCUUGAGUCAAGGAGAGGAAAGUGGAAAUCCUAGUGUAGCGAUGAAAUGCGUAGAUAUUAGGAGGAAUACCGGUGGCGAAGGCGACUUUCUGGACUUUUACUGACGCUCAGGUACGAAAGCGUGGGGAGCAAACAGG